rnacentral:rRNA from 1 species
GACGGAGGGUGCUAGCGUUGUUCGGAAUUACUGGGCGUAAAGGGCGCGUAGGCGGCCCUGUCAGUCGGGUGUGAAAGCCCGGGGCUCAACCCCGGAACGGCACCCGAGACGGCGAGGCUGGAGACCGGGAGAGGAGGGUGGAAUAGCCAGUGUAGAGGUGAAAUUCGUAGAUAUUGGCUGGAACACCGGUGGCGAAAGCGGCUCUCUGGCCCGGUUCUGACGCUGAGGCGCGAAAGCGUGGGGAGCAAACAGG